rnacentral:rRNA from 1 species
GAUCUUGGUGGUAGUAGCAAAUAUUCAAAUGAGAACUUGAAGGGCGAAGAGGAGAAAGGUUCCAUGUGAACGGCACUUGCACAUGGGUAAG